UACGUAGGCAGCGAGCGUUGUUCGGAGUUACUGGGCGUAAAGAGUGCGUAGGCGGUUUUCUAAGUUUGGUGUGAAAUCUCCCGGCUCAACCUGGAGACGCCACGCGAUACUGGCGUGACUAGAGUUCGGUAGGGGAGUCACGGAAUUCCGUGGUGUAGCGGUGAAAUGCGCAGAUAAUCAGGAGGAACACCGGUGGCGAAGGCGGUGAUCUGGGCCGACACGUGACGCUGUAGAGCGAAAGCGUGGGGAGCGAACAGGAU
rnacentral:rRNA from 1 species